rnacentral:rRNA from 1 species
AGACCCGAAACCCGGUGAUCUAGCCAUGGGCAGGUUGAAGGUUGGGUAACACUAACUGGAGGACCGAACCGACUAAUGUUGAAAAAUUAGCGGAUGACCUGUGGCUGGGGGUGAAAGGCCAAUCAAACCGGGAGAUAGCUGGUUCUCCCCGAAAGCUAUUUAGGUAGCGCCUCGUGAAUUCAUCUCCGGGGGUAGAGCACUGUUUCGGCUAGGGGGCCAUCCCGGCUUACCAACCCGAUGCAAACUGCGAAUACCGGAGAAUGUUAUCACGGGAGACACACGGCGGGUGCUAACGUCCGUCGUGAAGAGGGAAACAACCCAGACCGCCAGCUAAGGUCCCAAAGUCAUGGUUAAGUGGGAAACGAUGUGGGAAGGCCCAGACAGCCAGGAUGUUGGCUUAGAAGCAGCCAUCAUUUAAAGAAAGCGUAAU